rnacentral:lncRNA from 1 species
AUCCGUCGAAUGUGGGCUGACAAGGUCACGACUGUGAAUGCCGAGAGAAUUGUUGCCAUCGAACAUCUCCAGGCAGCAACUGAGCGGGAGAAAGUGGCGGCUGAGUGGGAGAAGAAGGACUAAGAAAAGAUCUCCCACAUGAAGGCUGAGUUGGAGUCGGCCCGAGCCGAAUUAGAGUUGGCUCAGCAGACCAUCAAGUCUCAAGAGUUUUGGAUCAAAAAGAAGAAGAAUAAGCUUAGUCGACUCUGGAAGGAAUAUGAUGGCUGCACCA